UUAAUUUAGUUAGGCCGUGACUGGCCUCCCACACCAGUACAGUAGGUGGCAGUGUGUAUACACCAUAAAAGUUGGAUGCGAUCAGCCAACCCAAUCCCAAAGAAGAAGAAAAAUAAGAAAUAGAAAUAGAAAUUAAUUACCGAAAUCCACAUACAAUUUCCGUUCAUAUCAAUUCCACCCACUAGGGGGCAGUCAAGAUAGCUUUCUGUGUUGAGGGCUUCCGUUUUUCCUGCCCUGUAUUUUUCAUCUGCGGACUCGGGGUUACUGAAAUCAAACGGAAGAGAUCUGUUAAAUGGUCGAGGUUUUGAAUUUGUUUAUUGUUUGAAGACCUUCACAAGAACGCACUAAAAUGGGCAGAAGUAGAAACCGAUCCCCACCAAAACGAGGUCUCUUCGCAGACUACGCUCUUCCCCUGGCUCCCUCCAGGCAGAAGGACAGGCGUGAUGAUGAUCAAAAGGAUUCCAAGGAUAAAUGGUUUAUUUGCUAUGAACUUGGAUGCGUUUCAAAUGGUGAAGUCGGCCAUUUGGAACGUACCCCUUAUAGGAAGACAUGCAGGGCAAGACUAAAGAGGAGAUUGAGAUGAUGAAGAUUAUGGGCUUCGGCAACUUUGACACCACAAAAGGAAGGGAAGACCGAUGGUGCAGUCAAUGCACAUGCUAUCAAUGUGUCCCAGAAGAGGAAAUACAGGCAUGCUGAUGCAUUGUCUUUAGAAACUACAAGAGGCAGUACACAAACAGAAAAGGUGGAUUCAACAGACCUCUGGAUGUCAUUGCUUGAAGUAGGAUAAACAACAGACUCAUUGAUGUUACCUAAAAUGUACUAGCCUUGUGGUCUCUCUUUACUGUGACACUGUGUGUUUUGGUGAUAAAGUAAAAAAUAAAUAAAAAUGUAUAGUCUG